rnacentral:rRNA from 1 species
AGUGAACGCUGGCGGUAGGCCUAACACAUGUAAGUCGAACGGCAGCACAGUAAGAGCUUGCUCUUACGGGUGGCGAGUGGCGGACGGGUGAGGAAUACAUCGGAAUCUACUUUUUCGUGGGGGAUAACGUAGGGAAACUUACGCUAAUACCGCAUACGACCUACGGGUGAAAGCAGGGGAUCUUCGGACCUUGCGCGAUUGAAUGAGCCGAUGUCGGAUUAGCUAGUUGGCGGGGUAAAGGCCCACCAAGGCGACGAUCCGUAGCUGGUCUGAGAGGAUGAUCAGCCACACUGGAACUGAGACACGGUCCAGACUCCUACGGGAGGCAGCAGUGGGGAAUAUUGGACAAUGGGCGCAAGCCUGAUCCAGCCAUACCGCGUGGGUGAAGAAGGCCUUCGGGUUGUAAAGCCCUUUUGUUGGGAAAGAAAAGCAGCGGGUUAAUACCCCGCUGUUCUGACGGUACCCAAAGAAUAAGCACCGGCUAACUUCGUG